UGAAAGAGGAAAUUAUUUGAAAUUUUUGGUGAAACUGACAUAUUUUUUCGAUCAAUAUUAAAAUUAAUAGGAAUUAAAGAAAAUAAAAGGAAUAAAAAAAAAUCAAAAAAAAUCAAAAAAAACGUGGACCACUUGAUCUGCCUCAUUAAUUGAGGUGGCAGAUCAAGUAGAUCAGUGCGCACGUUCCACCAUGAACUUGAGUCAAUGCGCCACAGGGAUGGUAAUCAAAACCAAGGCAUGAGAUUAAAACAAUUUGAAUUGAUCAUGUGGCUUCGAACCUGUCCACCACACCACCGAU
rnacentral:lncRNA from 1 species